rnacentral:rRNA from 1 species
GGCGCAUAAAGCGGCGAACGGGUGAGUAACACGUGGAUAAUCUGCCUUUUGGUGGGGGAUAACGGCUGGAAACGGCCGCUAAUACCGCAUACGGUAGCGAGGUCUUAGGGCCUUGCUAAGAAAGGGGCCUCAAAGCCCUGCCAGAAAAUGAGUCCGCGCCCCAUUAGCUAGUUGGCGGGAUAAUAGCCCACCAAGGCUUCGAUGGGUAGCCGAGCUGAGAGGUUGAUCGGCCACACUGGGACUGAGACACGGCCCAGACACCUACGGGUGGCAGCAGUAGGGAAUAUUGGACAAUGGGGGAAACCCUGAUCCAGCGAUGCCGCGUGGAUGAUGAAGGCCUUCGGGUCGUAAAGUCCUUUUCUGAGGGAAGAAACGUCUGGUGAGGAAAUGCACCGGAUUUGACGGUACCUCAGGAAUAAGCAACGGCUAACUCCGUGCCAGCAGCCGCGGUAAUACGGAGGUUGCAAGCGUUGUUCGGAAUAACUGGGCGUAAAGGGAGCGCAGGCGGCUUGAUAAGUCUAAAGUGAAAACCCAGGGCUCUACUCUGGAACUGCUUUGGAUACUGCCAAGCUUGAGUACGUGAGAGGAGAUUGGAAUUCCAGGUGUAGCGGUGAAAUGCGUAGAUAUCUGGAGGAACACCGGUGGCGAAAGCGGAUCUCUGGCACGUUACUGACGCUGAGGCUCGAAAGCGUGGGGAGCAAACGGGAUUAGAUACCCCGGUAGUCCACGCCGUAAACGUUGUGCACUAGGUGUAGGAGGUAUCGACCCCUUCUGUGCCGCAGCUAACGCAUUAAGUGCACCGCCUGGGGAGUACGCCCGCAAGGGUGAAACUCAAAGGAAUUGACGGGGGCCCGCACAAGCGGUGGAGCAUGUGGUUUAAUUCGAGGCAACGCGAAGAACCUUACCCAGGCUUGACAUCCCAGGACAGCCCAUGAAAGUGGGUCUUCCCUUCGGGGACCUGGAGACAGGUGUUGCAUGGCUGUCGUCAGCUCGUGUCGUGAGAUGUUGGGUUAAGUCCCGCAACGAGCGCAACCCUUGUCCUUAGUUACCAGCGGGUUAUGCCGGGCACUCUGAGGAGACUGCCGAUGAUAAGUCGGAGGAAGGUGGGGACGACGUCAAGUCAUCACGGCCCUUACGCCUGGGGCUACACACGUGCUACAAUGGUCGGUACAGAGGGAUGCAAGACCGCGAGGUGGAGCAAAUCCCAAAAAGCCGGCCUCAGUUCGGAUUGCAGUCUGCAACUCGACUGCAUGAAGUCGGAAUCGCUAGUAAUCGUGGAUCAGCUACGCCACGGUGAAUACGUUCCCGGGCCUUGUACACACCGCCCGUCACAUGACCCGAGUUGGGUGCACCCA